GGGCAAUUAGCUCAGCUGGUAGAGCAUCUGACUUUUAAUCAGAGGGUCACAGGUUCGAAUCCUGUAUUGCCCACCA
rnacentral:tRNA from 1 species